rnacentral:ncRNA from 1 species
UCUUAUCAAGAGCAGGUGGAGGGACAAGCCCGAUGAAACCCGGCAACCGGCAGAUGCGCAGAACCGUUCUUGCAUGUUAAGGACGUAUCUGCGGCGCGCACGGUGCUAAUUCUUGCGGUAGCGGUCAGAAGACUGCUGCUGACAGAUGAGA